CCCAGAGCGGAGCGCAUUNUGUUCGCCACAAAACCAAGCGCCCUCCGGGCGUCCAGUGUUGACUCAGAACAACUAAGCUGAUCGCACGGUCUUGUACCGGCGACGUGUCUUUCAAGUGUCUGCCUUAUCAACUUUCGAUGGUAGUGUAUCUGACUACCAUGGUGAUGACGGGUAACGGAGGAUAAGGGUUCGACUCCGGAGAAGGGGCCUGAGAAAUGGCCACUACGUCUAAGGAUGGCAGCAGGCGCGCAAAUUACCCACUCUCAACGCGAGGAGGUAGUGACGAGAAAUAACGAGACCGAUCUCUUAUGAGGCCGGUCAUCGGAAUGGGUACAAUUUAAACCCUUUAACGAGUAUCUAUGAGAGGGCAAGUCUGGUGCCAGCAGCCGCGGUAAUUCCAGCUCUCAAAAUGCAUAGAAUUAUUGCUGCGGUUAAAAAGCUCGUAGUUGGAUCUGUGCUAGCCGUCCGGUGCACACUUUGUGUGUUACUGGUUUGGUUGGCUUUUCUGCCGGUCUUUCCCCGGCGUUGGCCUUUACCGGUCGGCGUCGGUGGGCUGGCGAGUUUACUUUGAACAAAUCAGAGUGCUUCAAACAGGCGUUUCGCUUGAAUGUUCGUGCAUGGAAUAAUAGAAGAGGAUUUCGGUCCGAUUUUAUUGGUUUUGCUGACCGAGAUAAUGGUUAACAGAGACAAACGGGGCCAUUCGUAUUGCUACGUGAGAGGUGAAAUUCUUGGACCGUAGCAAGACGGACUACAGCGAAAGCAUUUGGCAAGAAUGUCUUCAUUAAUCAAGAACGAAAGUCAGAGGUUCGAAGGCGAUCAGAUACCGCCCUAGUUCUGACCGUAAACGAUGCCAACUAGCGAUCCGCCGGCGGAUUUAUUCGCCCUGGUGGGGAGCUUCCCGGAAACGAAAGUCUUCCGGUUCCGGGGGAAGUAUGGUUGCAAAGCUGAAACUUAAAGGAAUUGACGGAAGGGCACCACCAGGAGUGGAGCCUGCGGCUUAAUUUGACUCAACACGGGGAAACUCACCCGGCCCGGACACCGUAAGGAUUGACAGAUUGAUAGCUUUUUCAUGAUUCGGUGGAUGGUGGUGCAUGGCCGUUCUUAGUUCGUGGAGCGAUUUGUCUGGUUUAUUCCGAUAACGAGCGAGACUCUAGCCUACUAAAUAGUUGGCUCAUUGCUUCUGUGGGCACAACUUCUUAGAGGGAUUUUCGGUGUUCAGCCGCACGAAAUUGAGCAAUAACAGGUCUGUGAUGCCCUUAGAUGUCCGGNGCUGCACGCGCGCUACACUGGCAA
rnacentral:rRNA from 2 species